rnacentral:rRNA from 1 species
CCUACGGGAGGCAGCAGUGAGGAAUAUUGGUCAAUGGGCGCGAGCCUGAACCAGCCAAGUAGCGUGAAGGAUGACUGCCCUACGGGUUGUAAACUUCUUCUAUAAAGGAAUAAAGUGAGGCACGUGUGCCUUUUUGUAUGUACUUCUUCAAUAAGGCUCGGCCAACUCCGCGCCAGAGGCCGCGGUAAUACGGAGGAUCCGAGCGUUAUCCGGAUUGAUUGGGUUUAAAGGGAGCGUAGAUGGGUUGUUAAGUCAGUUGUGAAAGUUUGCGGCUCAACCGUAAAAUUGCAAUUGAUACUGGCAGCCUUGAGUACAGUUGAGGUAGGCGGAAUUCGUGGUGUAGCGGUGAAAUGCGUAGAUAUCACGAAGAACUCCGAUGGCGAAGGCAGCCUACUAAACUGCCACUGACAUUGAUGCUCGAAAGUGUGGGUAUCAAACAGGAUUAGAUACCCGAGUAGUC